rnacentral:rRNA from 1 species
AGAGUUUGAUCAUGGCUCAGAGUUAACGCUGGCGGCGUGCCUAACACAUGCAAGUCGAGCGAAUUUCUACAGAGUAUCGUAGAGAUUAGCGGCAAACGGGUGAGUAACACAUGGGAAACCUUCCUUAGAAUGGGGAAUAUCUCCGUGAAAACGGAGCUAAUACCGCAUAAGACUACAGUUUGGCAUCAAACAGGGGUAAAAGCAGCAAUGCGUUUUUAAGAUGGUCCUGUGUCCUAUCAGCUAGUUGGUGGGGUAGAGGCCUACCAAGGCAAAGACGGGUAUCCGGCCUGAAAGGGUGAACGGACACACUGGAACUGAGACACGGUCCAGACUCCUACGGGAGGCAGCAGUGGGGAAUUUUUUGGACAAUGGGGGAAACCCUGAUCCAGCGACGCCGCGUGGAGGACGAAGGUCUUCGGAUUGUAAACUCCUUUUGGAGGGGAAGAAAAAAUGACGGUACCCUCAGAAAAAGCCACGGCUAACUUCGUGCCAGCCGCCGC